rnacentral:rRNA from 1 species
CAAGAGUUUUGGACCUGGCUCAGAUUGAACGCUGGCGGCAGGCCUAACACAUGCAAGUCGAGCGGAUGAAGGGAGCUUGCUCCUGGAUUCAGCGGCGGACGGGUGAGUAAUGCCUAGGAAUCUGCCUGGUAGUGGGGGACAACGUUUCGAAAGGAACGCUAAUACCGCAUACGUCCUACGGGAGAAAGCAGGGGACCUUCGGGCCUUGCGCUAUCAGAUGAGCCUAGGUCGGAUUAGCUAGUUGGUGGGGUAAUGGCCCACCAAGGCGACGAUCCGUAGCUGGUCUGAGAGGAUGAUCAGCCACACUGGGACUGAGACACGGCCCAGACUCCUACGGGAGGCAGCAGUGGGGAAUAUUGGACAAUGGGCGAAAGCCUGAUCCAGCCAUGCCGCGUGUGUGAAGAAGGUCUUCGGAUUGUAAAGCACUUUAAGUUGGGAGGAAGGGCUGUUACCUAAUACGUGACUGUUUUGACGUUACCAACAGAAUAAGCACCGGCUAAC